CACCCUAUCGUCUAGAGGCCUAGGACAUCGCCCUUUCACGGCGGUAACCGGGGUUCGAAUCCCCGUAGGGACGCCA
rnacentral:tRNA from 1 species